UCAUAGCCCCGAUAAUAGUGAAAAUCCUUUUAUUUUUUUUCUUUAAAAAAAUAAAAGAUUGUAACGGAUAGCGGGAUUAGCU
rfam:Flavobacterium sp. FPG59 Contig_261, whole genome shotgun sequence.